GAGAGCGUACAGGUCGCAAUGGUGGGUAGUAUAUGGGGCUUUGGUGACAAAACGGAUUGCACUGUGAUAGACUGCAUCCAAUUUGUUGAGUAGGGUAUUGGAGGCUAUUUUGUAAAUGACAUCGCCAAAGUCGAGGAUUGGUAGGAUGGUCAGUUUUACAAGGGUAUGUUUGGCAGCAUGAGUGAAGGAUGCUUUGUUGCGAAAUAGGAAGCCAAUUCUAGAUUUAACUUUGGAUUGGAGAUGUUUGAUAUGGGUCUGGAAGGAGAGUUUACAGUCUAACCAGACACCUAAGUAUUUGUAGUUGUCCACGUAUUCUAAGUCAGAGCCGUCCAGAGUAGUGAUGUUGGACAGGCGGGCAGGUGCAGGUAGCGAUCGGUUGAAGAGCAUGCAUUUAGUUUUACUUGUAUUUAAGAGCAAUUGGAGGCCACGGAAGGAGAGUUGUAUGGCAUUGAAGCUUGCCUGGAGGGUUGUUAACACAGUGUCCAAAGAAGGGCCGGAAGUAUACAGAAUGGUGUCGUCUACAAUGUAAUGAAAUAUAUUGAUUUAAAAUAAAAUCGAAUAGCUUGUUUGAUGUUCUGAUAUAGACAGAAUGACUGAAAAUGACCUGUAAUUUCAAAUCAUUAGUUUACAAUAUCACAAUGGAAUUUAUUACAAUUUAUAAAGAAGCAGAACGAGCAAGUCAUUCACCCAACAUUUGUUCAUCAGGACGGUAACACAACGACACGAGGAUAAUUGACUAUCCAGAAGUUCACCUGGGCAGGCCCAAAAAAGGCAGAAAAGCCAGUCUUGUUCUCUCUCUACCCCAGCCCAGGAUGAAUUGAAUGGGGACACGCCUAGACGUGGGCAAUCCAGGGAUUCAGCUGGCCGUUCUAGAUGCUCUCCUUCCCCAUCUCACUUCACACGCGGGCUUCUACUAGCCAGUCCCACCUCCAGAGCAGGGAGCACAGACGUUUUCCAUAUCUCCCCUGUUACUCUACCAGACAAGAUUCAUCCAGGGCUUCUACUUGCCAGGCGCAACAGAGCCAAGAGCAUCGAAGCCCUCACCCUCCCAUUCCCUCCGCUAAGACCAGAGCUGUUUCCCAUGAAUAAUGCCAAAGUGUGUCCUAACUAAAUUGGUAGAGAUAUUGGAGGUGAAACGUGUUGGGAGAUCAGAGCCCCAAGACUCUUUGAGUUCCAUGUCAAGAGGAUGGAGACUUUGAGCAACUAGAGAAGCAGCGCCAAAGUGUGGAUGCACAGAAUCUGAUGGUGAAAUUGACAUUUAUUUUUGACAUUUCAUUUACACUGUAGAUUUAGUCAGCAUCUUUCACACUACCUAAAGCGAUACAAUUGGUUAAUUCCACUCUCACAAGCAAUGCCUGUAGAAUGUAUUUUUUAUUAGUCCUACUGAGACAGAGGUUACUGCAUAACGUCCAGGGUUUCAAACAGUCUCUUGACACAGAUUAAGGUUAAGCAACAUUGGUGGUAAGAACACAAAGGACUGUGCCCACAAGGUCAUGGACAGGUAUGUCAUAUCUUUAGAAUGGAUCCAGUAAGUAAUUCAUUUUAAAGGUAUCGUUAGUGAUACAAACUGUCUGCAACAAAGACAGUAAAUCCAAGAGCCUUCUCUCCUCAGCAGUUUGAAAGUGUUCAAUUCACAAAGAACAUCUUUAUGUGCGCUUGACUUUCAGGCUCUUUACCAAUGGCCUGAUGUCCUUGUUCAACUUCAACAACCAUCACGCAAUGCAGGGACUAGGAAACACAACUGUGUAGUCUGUUGUCAGUGGUACCUACAAACAUGUAAUUAUUCUGUAGUAUAUUUUGUAUUAAUAACUGGGUGGUUUGAGCCCUGAAAGCUGAUUGGCUAACAGCCAUGGUAUAUUUAAGCAAUAAUACAUGAGAGCCCAUGUGUUAUGAUGACAUUUAUCAUGGCUGAGAGUGUCAUAGCCAUGAAAGCAAAGUCCUCUGGGUUUUGUGGUGCCGUAACCACACAAUACAUGGUUACAGUCUGUAUCCAGCCGCGCUGAGUUGCGUUGUGCAUAAGAAAAGCCUUUUACUACACCCUCCCAUUGCUUAAAAGGUCACUAAGGUCGCAUAAUCAAAAUGACCUGCUCUGUCUGUUUUAAUAGGCUAGAUUCUUAUUUUGUUUUCUAAACCAAUUAUUAAUUUGCAUGGUGGUCAUUUAUGUGGUCCCUUUUUGAGAAGAAUGGCUUUAGGAGCUUGGCAAUUUUGAAUGAGGUGAUCAUGUGAUGUCAAUGGCCUUUUAACCUAUUGACUCGGGCAAGUUCUAAAAAUGGAUAACGGUCUGCCCAACGUGACAUUUUCUCAAAUUCUCUUUCAUUUAUUUUGCUAUGCUUUAGCCCUAAUAAAUGCUUCACCAUGUUUUGUUCUUUGUUAGACUCUCUAGUAUGUCAUUAUGCUGGUUUUGUUCAGCUUUCUGGCCUGUUAUCAAUUAGUCCUUAUUAUUACUUCAUUUCAUCACACAGCCUACUGGUUCUGCAUUUAAAUGCAGUCAAGCAUUAUCUUGAAUAAUUAGCCUACAGCAUACAAUGGCUUUAAUAAUAAAGGCUUUGUACAGAUCAAUUCUGGUACAGCUAGAAUUUAUUUUGUGUUUACACUACCAAGCAAUCAGAAAAAAAAUAUACAGUGGGGCAAAAAAGUAUUUAGUCAGCCACCAAUUGUGCAAGUUCUCCCACUUAAAAAGAUGAGAGAGGCCUGUAAUUUUCAUCAUAGGUACACUUCAACUAUGACAGACAAAAUGAGGGAAGAAAAAUCCAGAAAAUCACAUUGUAGGAUUUUUUAUGAAUUUAUUUGCAAAUUAUGGUGGAAAAUAAGUAUUAUUGGGCCACCUACAAACAAGCAAGAUUUCUGGCUCUCACAGACCUGUAACUUCUUCUUUAAGAGGCUCCUCUGUCCUCCACUCGUUACCUGUAUUAAUGGCACCUGUUUGAACUUGUUAUCAGUAUAAAAGACACCUGUCCACAACCUUAAACAGUCACACUGCCGGAGCAGAAGGCAGAUUACCAUUAUUGCUUCACGGAGUCGUGGCUGAAGGAUGACAAUAUCAACAUACAGCUGGCUGGUUAUAGAUGCACCAGCAGGAUAGAACAGUGGUGUCUGGUAAGACAAAGGGCAGCAGACUAUGUAUUUUUAAAAAAAAAAAUAACAGCUGUUUCACUAUGUCUAAGGAAGUCUCGAGCAAUGCCCGAGGUUGAUUAUAUCACGAUAAAGAAAAAAAAAACAUAUUGAGAGAGUUCUCAUCUGUAUUCUUCGUAGCUGUUUUACAUACCACCUCAGUCAGAGGUUGGUACUAAGAUAGCAUUGAAUGAGCUGUAUUCUGCCAUAAGCAAACAAGAAAACGCUCACCUGGAGGAUGCAGCUGUACACAGCCCAUCUGUAAAUAGCCCAUCCAACUACCUACCUCAUCCCCAUAUUGUUUUAUUCAUUUUUUUUUUGCACACUAGUAUUUCUACUUGCACAUCAUCAUCAUCUGCACAUCUCACUCCAGUGUUAAUUUGCUAAAUUGUAAUUUCUUCGCUACUAUUGGCCUAUUUAUUGCCUUAUCUCCUUACUCCAUCUGCACACACUGUAUAUAGAUUUUUCUAUUGUGUUAUUGACUGUACUUUUGUUUAUCCCAUGUGUAACUCUGUUGUUUUUUGUCGCACUGCUUUGCUUUAUCUUGGCCAGGUUGCAAUUGUAAAUGAAAACUUGUUCUCAACUGGCCUACCUGGUUAAAUAAAAGGUGAUAUUUAUAUAUAUAUUUUAAAGGGGCGCUCCUAGUAGCCAGAGACUUUAAUGCAGGGAAACUUAAAUCAAUUUUACCAAAUUUCUAACAGCAUGUUAAAUGUGCAACCAGAGUGAAAAUAACUCUGGACCACCUAUACUCCACACACAGAGACGCAUACAAAGCUCUCCCUUGCCCUCCAUUUGGCAAAUCUGACCAUAAUUCCAUCCUCCUGAUUCCUGCUUACAAGUGAAAAUUAAAGCAGGAAGCACCAGUGACUAGAUCAAUAAAAAAGUGGUCAGAUGAAGCAGAUGCUAAGCUACAGGACUGUUUUGCUAGCACAGACUAGAAUGUGUUCCGGGAUUUCUCCAAUGGCAUUGAGGGCAUUCGGUCAUUGGCUUCAUCAAUAAGUGCAUCGAUGACGUCGUCCCCAGUGACAGUACGUACAUACCCCAACUAGAAACCACGGAUUACAGGCAGCAUCCGCACUGAGCUAAAGGCUAGAGCUUCCGCUUUUAAGGAGAGAGACUAAGCCGGAAGAUUAUAAGAAAUCCCGCUAUGCCCUCCGACGAUCCAUCAAACAGCCAAAGCCUCAAUAAAGGACUAAAAUCGAGUCGUACUACACCGGCUCUGAUGCUCGUCAGAUGUGGCAGGGCUUGCAUACCAUUACAGACUACAAAGGGAAGCACAGCCGAGAGCUGCCCAGUGACACAAGCCUACCAGAUGAGCUAAACUACUCCUAUGCUCGCUUCAAGGCAAAUAACACUGAAACAUGCAUAAGAGCACCAGCUGUACUGGAAGACUGUGUGAUCACGCUCUCCGCAGCCAAUGUGAGUAUGACCUUUACACAGGUCAACAUUAACAAGGCCGCAGGGCCAUACGGAUUACCAGGACGUGUACUGUGUGCAUGCGCUGACCAACUAAUAAGUGUCUUCACUGACAUGUUCAACCUCUCCCUGUCUGAGUCUGUAAUACCAACAUGUUUUAAGCAGACGACCAUGGUGCCUGUGCCCAAGAACACUAAGGGAACCUGCCUAAAUGACUACCGACCCAUGGCACUCACGUCUGUAGCCAUGAAGUGCUUUGAAAGGUUGGUCAUGGCUCACAUCAAAACCAUCAUCCCAGAAACCCUAGACCAACUCCAAUUUGUAUACCACUCCAACAUAUCCACAGAUGAUGCAAUCUCUAUUGCACUUCACACUGCCCUUUCCCACUUGGACAACAGGAACACCUACAGUUGAAGUCAGAAGUUUACAUACACUUAGGUUGGAGUUUUUCAACCACUCCACAAAUUUCUUGUUUAACAAACUAUAGUUUUGGCAAGUUGGUUAGGACAUCUACUUUGUGCAUGACACAAGUAAUUUUUCCAACAAUUGUUUAUAGACAGAUUCUUUCACGUAUAAUUCACUGUAUCACAAUUCCAGUGGGUCAGAAGUUUACAUACACUAAGUUGACUGUGCCUUUAAACAGCUUGGAAAAUUCCAGAAAAAAAAAAGCUUCUGAUGGGCUAAUUGACAUAAUUUGAGUCAAUUGGAGGUGUACCUGAGAUGUAUUUCAAGGCCUACCUUCAAACACAGUGCAUCUUUGCUUGACAUCAUGGGAAAAUCAAAUUUCCACCUUAUUCAUAAAGAGACUUUAAAGUUCAGUGACUGAUUUGUCCCCUACCCAUUCUGAAACUAACUGCAGCUCUUUGUCAAGUGUUGCAGUCAUUUCAGUCGCUGUAGUAGCUGAUGUGUAUAGUGUUGAGUCAUCCUCAUACAUAGACACACUGGCCUUACUCAAAGCCAGUGGCAUUGUUGGAGACGCUCACAUUAAAGAACUCCCUCUGUCUUCGGUUACUUGUCUAACUCUUUAUCCACAUUAUAGCUGGGGUGUAAAGCCAUUACACAUACGUUUUUCCAGCAGCAGACUAUGAUCGAUAAUGUGAAAAGCUGCACUGAAGUCUAACAAGACAGCCCCCACAACCAUUUUAUCAUCAAUAUUUUAGGAAUAGCAUUACACAAUCAACAUCUUGAUCAAUUCUAUGCAAAGGAGAUGUGUCCCGGAGGAGGCGAUGACCCCCUUAUCAUGUAAUGGGGUAGGGCCUUCCCAAGCAGGGUUGCCAACUUAGUGACUUUUUCGCUAUAUUUAGCGAGUAUUCAGACCCCUCUAGCGACACAUUUAAAAAAAAUUGACUAGUGACAAAUCUAGCGACUUUUUCUGGUGUUAUUUGAGACUUUUGGAGACUCUGACGUGAAAGCAUGUAUUGUUCUUAAUGGGCCCCACCCCCGUCCCAAAGCACUCCCUUGCAGCCUAGUCCUCGCGCAUGCGGGAAGCUGGCUGAUCCCGCCCUGGCUUACAUUCAGGGUGGGAUGUAAAUGUGAAAUGUUCUUUGUCUAAAAUAAAUCACUGCAUUUGACUCA